UACGAGUGCCUCAAGCGUUAUCCGGAAUCAUUGGGCGUAAAGGAUGUGUAGGUGGUUGUGUUAGUCUUCUGUUAAAUUCUUCGGCUUAACCGGGGGCAUGCAGGGGAAACGGCACGACUAGAGGAUGCGAGGGGUCUGCGGAACUCAUAGUGUAGCGGUGAAAUGCGUUGACUAUUAUGGGGAACACCAAAAGCGAAGGCGGCAGACUGGAGCACUCCUGACACUGAAACAUGAAAGCGUGGGUCGCGAAUGGG
rnacentral:rRNA from 1 species